rnacentral:lncRNA from 1 species
AAUGACGGGUGAGUGACAGUGGGUUCCGGUGUCGAAUUGGACACUUUCGGGAACCCGGAUCGGAACGAUUAUCCGACGAUAAUCGUUUUGAUGUGAGGCAGUGUGUUUGCUGCCAAUUCUAAUGAAUAAUUGUGUUUAGUGGCAGCGGAGGACUCGUAGCGUGAGUCGGUGAGUUUCGGGACAGUUCGUGGGUCCCGGCGGAGUCCCGAUGCAAUUUUCGAGACUUCCGACGUGUUACGGUAAUCGGUUUGGGAAACCGAUUCCCGUGGGUUUCAUGUGGGGUUUGUGAGUUAGUGGUUUGUGUUCGUGGGUUGG